GUCAUAAGUCUAUUUUCGUUGUGUCAUGAAAUAGAAAUAUUAGUAAUAAUAACAAUGUUAGUUUUGGUGUAGCGAGCUAGCCAGUGUGGUGGAAUGUUAGUUAGUUGGUAACGUUAGCUAACGUUAAGUUUACCUCAAAAAGCACAUUGACUAUCCGAGUCAAACAUUUGCCAAAUUCAACCCUGUCAUAAUGUGCGCUAUCGUUAGCUAACUAGCUCAGUGGUUCUCAACUCCAGUCCUGUUGAAUGUUUUCGUUCCAACCCAGAACUAACACACCUGAUUCAACUGUUGUAAUAAGAUAGGCAUAGCUCUUGAUUAGUUGAAUCAGACCUGUCAGGCUGUCCAAAUGCUUACCAACUAAAUAAUAGCUACAUUUAACAAAUGGAAAUUAUUCAAUGUUAAUAAUACACAUUUUGUUAUAUCAUUUUAGAUUCACUUUUAAAAUAUCUGGGACCACCUGCUGCAUCAGUUGACAAGGAACAGCCAUGCAGCUCAGCUGUGCCGGCUUCCUCAGACCUAGAACCACAUGAAGGAAUGUCAGAACAGCAAGCUGCUCAUCCUGAUGAGAUGACCACUGAUUCCACCCUGCCACUGACCACUGUGCCUGUUUGUUUUGGCCCAGAACCACUGCAAGGAACGUCAGACCAGCCUGCUGCAUCUCAUCCUGAUUGCACCACAGAUUCCACCCAUACACUCUUCUCAGAUGCAGCAAAGACAGACGAUCCACUACCAACCGAUCCUGCUGACUGCCCUUCACAUCUCACUGACACAAUGAGGACAGAGUUUGUUCAGAGAGGACCAUAUCAGAUAACACCUGAUUUCAUUUUCCGAAGGAGAGAUGAUGGGAGAAGUUGCCACCACCAGUACUUCAGCAGGACCUUAGUAAAUGGAGAAAGGAUCAAAAGAAGUUGGGUGACAUAUUCAAAAAAGAAGAACAGUCUUUUUUGUUUUUGUUGUCAACUUUUCUCUCCAAAACAAAUUCAUUUAACAAAUGCAGGACUGUCGGAUUGGAAAAAUGCAAGUGCUGCUUUGACCAGCCAUGAAAAUAGUCCGGAACACCUGAACAAUUUGGCGUCAUGGAAAGAAUUGGCAGUUCGAUUAAAACAAAGUACAACAAUAGACAAACAGGAGCAGGCCCUCCUUGAGGCAGAGAAGAGUCGGUGGAGAGCAGUGUUGACACGACUGGUUGCUAUUGUAGUCUCUGGCAGGGCGAAAUAUGGCAUUGAGAGGAAAGACAGAAAUACUCCACUCUCCUUCAAAUGGAAACUUUUUGAAAGAGGUUGAGCUUUUGGCGCAGUUUGACCCAGUGAUGAAAGACCACACUAACAAGAUUAAAAGUCAAACAUCCCACCACAGCUACUUGGGCAAAACCAUUCAGAAUGAGUUGAUUGAACGCAUCAGUGGAAAGAUUCUAUCUACAAUAGUGCAAGAAAUAAAGAAAUGCAAGUACUUUUCCCUCAGUUUAGAUUGCACCCCGGAUGUUAGCCACACUGAACAGCUGUCAGUAGUCAUCAGAAUUGUGACACUGGAAGAAGACCCCCAGAUUAAAGAGCACUUCAUGGGAUUCCUAGUAGCAGAGCAGUCCACUGGUGAAAGUUUGUCCGCCCUGAUUUUGAAGAGGCUGGAGGAGUUGCAGAUUGCCUUUGAUGACUGCAGAGGACAGUCAUAUGACAACGGUGCAAAUAUGAGAGGGAAGAACAAGGGAGUACAGGCCAGGCUACUGCAGUUGAACCCAGAGCUUUGUUUGUGCCUUGUGGGGCACAUACACUCAAUUUGGUCAUUGCUGAUGCUGCCAAAAGCUCCAAAUAUGCCAUGUCAUUUUUUGGCAUUGUGCAGAAGCUAUACUGCCUGUUUUCUGCCUCUACACAGAGAUGGGCCAUCCUCAAGAAACAUGUCAACCUUUCACUCAAAAUGUGGUCAGAAACCAGGUGGGAGAGCAGAGUGAAAGCUGUGGAGCCUCUGCGAUAUGAAGCCGCAGCUGUGAGGUGAGAAACCAGGCCAAAGACCCAAUCAUCAGGAUUGAAGCCCAGUCUCUGGCAGAAGAAGUGGGAUCAUUCCGCUUUUCACUGUGCACAGUGGUCUGGUAUGAUGUGUUAAGUCAAAUUCAGUAGGUGAGCAAACUCCUGCAGUCCCAAACAAUGCAACUGAAUGUAGCAGUUAGUCUACUGAAAAAUACUGAAAAAACUCUCGAAUCCUAGAGCCACAGGCUUUGUGGCUGCACAAACAUCAGCCAAGGACAUGUGUGAAGACAUGAAUGUGGACGCAGUCCUUGUGCAAAAGCGGCUGAAGUCAACAAAGAGGCACUUCUCAUAUGAGUCUCCUGAUGAGCCAUUGAGGGAUGCCUUGCAAAAUCUGGAGGUAACCUUCUUUAACGUGGUGGUGGAUGCUGCAGUGUCAGCACAAAAGGAGAGGUUUACCACUCUUAAACAUGUGCAAGACAAGUUUGGCAUUCUGUACAACUUCCCAGACCUGCCACACCAAGAGCUGAUGAAGCAAGCAGAGGCACUUGCACACACCUUAAGCCAUGGAGCGCAAUCUGAUUUGGAUGGGAAGGAGCUGGCUCAGGAGUUGGAAAAUGUACCUGACUUGCCAUCAAAGAGCAUGACAACUCUUGAGUUGUUGAAAUUCAUACACACAAAGCAGCUCACCGAAAUAUAUCCCAACUUGUGUAUUGCUCUGCGGAUCAGUGCAACGCUACCAGUAACAGUAGCUUCAGCCGAGAGGAGUUUUUCCAAAUUAAAACUCUUGAAAACAUACCUGAGGUCAACCAUGGCUCAGGAACGCCUCAGUGGUCUGGCUGUAAUCAGUAUUAACCAUGAGUUUGGUGGAUUGCACUGUAAAUGGAAACCAGUAGGAGCUAAUAGGCUAACCUUAUGUGAUGAUAGGGAGUGGAAUGUAAAUAGUUAUUGAGACAAAGUGAAUUUGUAAUUUUUAUUUAUUUGUUUGUUUAUUUAGCAUAUUAUAUUUUGAUUAUUUGACAUGUGUAACAUAUUUUACAAUACAUCAUUUUUAGGGCUGUCAAGUUAAUGCGUUAAUAAUGCGUUAACGCAAUUUUUUUUAACGCCAAUAAUUAUUUUAACGCGAUUAACGCAUGUGUAUUUUUUUCCUCGGCCGCCCCGUAGUUUCAGA